ensembl:lncRNA
GAAAGCUGCUGCACCUCAGCAAACCUCUGUGGGGGUGAGUGGAGAUGAUAUUCGGAGCACUUUCCCCACCCGAAGCACCACCGAAGGUCACUUGCACGGCUCUCUGCAGUCAGUCAUCCUCAUCAAUCAGAGAGGCACUGCUCUGCUCCGCACUCAUUUAAACCGGGAUGUGUUUGCAUUUCUCAUUAAUUUGUCAGCUUCCAUUUGGGAAGCAUUCUUGCACAAUCAAUGGAAGUCAGCAGGGAGCUCUUUCACGAGAGCUUUAAUGCUUUUUGAUCCACUUAUGGGUGAGGUGCCUCAAAUAACACCUCCGUGCCGCCCAUCUCCGAUUUCCACCAACAGGUCAUCAGGCAAGCUGCUGGGAGAGGGAGGUCAUUACCCACCCAUGUCUCCGCUGGACGAGGAAUGGUGAGCAGGGCAACUGCACCCCAAACUGCUCCGGCACUCCCAGGGCCUCUGGAAAGAGCAUCGUAAGCAAGCAACUACACUGAAUGAUCUGCUUGCUGGCUUGGCAAGAAGACAUGCGUCCCUUCUGCAGGGCGCUUGCACAACUGUCAUCACAUCACGUGCCCGUCAGGCUGCAGCCAGCAGACAGAGCAGGUGCCUUAAUUUCCUGUUCUGAUUAUUUUUCUGAGUUUCCCAAGUAGAAACCAGAAGCAGAUUGCCGCUGCCAGCUGAGCUCUUCUCACCUUGGGCUGCAGCCUGCAGGCGUGCUGCUGACUGCACUGCCGACCGACCUCAGUUGACACCUCAGUUGCAGCCAGCAGUUGAGAAGAGGCACUGCAUCUGAUCCACCUGGAUUCAGGACGGCGCUCUCAGGCCAUUACAAUAAAACUAAAUAGUUUUAAAAGACACAGCGGUGCAGUCUGUCUUCUCACUUCCUCCUUUGCCUUCUCAGUAUGUCCCAGGCCGCAGAGCGCUGCGAUGCGCCGUAGGUGUGGACUGAUCUGUUACCCAGGGCCCAUACAUUCCUUAUGACAUUAUCACAUUAUGACUUGCAGGUACUUUGGGGGAAAGGUUUAGUUACGUUUUCUCAUCAUAUAUCUGCUGGCAAAGCUAAUCACAACUAAAAUCCUUGCUGUCGAUAUAAUGCCACUGGUUAUUGAUUACGUCUGGUUGUGCUUGUGGUCGGGUGUCUACUGCUAAUUUACAGAAAUUCAGAGACUAAAAAUAGGAAAUAAUUUACUGAUACUGCCCUUAAAGUUGUGUGGCAGGGGUAAGGCAGAGACUAUCUCGUAUGGUUUAAUUACUUCUGUAUACUCAUUUAGUGUCAGCGAGCACCGUGGAUGUUUCACACACAGAUUACACUUUCUUUACAGAGAGAGUGGUGAGGUGCUGGAACAGCUGCCCAGAGAGGCUGUGGAUGCCCCGUCCAUCCCUGGAGGUGUUCAAGGCCAGGUUGGAUGGGGCCCUGGGCAGCCUGGGCUUGUAUGAAAUGUGGAGGUUGGUGGCCCUGCCUGUGGUGGGGGGUUGGAGAUUCGUGAUCCUUGGGGUCCCUUCCAACCCAAGCCAUUCUGUGAUUCUGCUAUAGAUUCUAUUAUACUACGGAUUUUGGCUGCGUAAAUAUCUUGUGGCUAUCUGCCAGGAAGAUAUCUGGAGAAAUCAGUGUUGAUUGACGGACCGAAAAAAAUUUCUUUUAAAUGUUAGGAAAGACAAAUUCAUCCCGUAACUCGUUUGCAAUGAAUUAUUUGUCCCGCCCUGUCUCCAUACAGGUGAUGCUGCACAGCAGCACAGCACUCUAGGGAUGAUGACAGUCAGGAAAUGAGCUCUCUACAGCGUCGUCCAUGCGUAAAACUUUUACAGUUUAAUGAUAAGAGAUUCUGAAUUAUUGCUGGGCAGUUGAUUGAAAGUUGCUACACUUGUUUUCAAAACGUGGUAAGUAAAAAAUGAUGUGAUUUUGAAAAUGGAAAACUAUUGUAUGAAACUCUUUAGCACCAAGAGAGCUUCCUGGAUGAUGGCCAUAAGCUGCAUUUGUUCAAGUCAAUUCUGCAUUAAUCAGUGUGCCACGAAGAUUGUGCCCUAUGUUUUUUUAUUUAGUGGGUCAUAUAUUUUAAGAAGUGCCUUUAAGUGUUUUGAUGAAACACAUUAAAAAUCCACUGUAAUGCCUAGGUAGCUGACAGCGUUAAUAUAUAGCAGGUACAUUUGCCUUUGCAGUUUAAAUAAUCUGGAAGGGAUGCUUUAUUAUUUAUUCUUAAAUUUUAUCACCAAUGGUCUGUAAUAUAUGAAGACCAAAUUUACAGCACGUGUCCUCGAUACCUUCAAAAAUAUCAAUGAGUGUUCUCCCAUUACUCAACCACAAAAUCAGACUUUUAAAUGAAGUUUUCCACCAGGAAAUUAUAUCAGUGAUCCGCUGCACUUCUGCUCCAAGAGAGUGCAAACGAGCUGAGGAGGUCUUUUUGUUAGCACACGGACUGAAUGCACUGUAACAUGUGGCUGAAGCACAACGGUCAAGUCCCCGAGCAUCCUGAUUUUCUAAGUGCUCACAAGACUGGCACUUCUUUGGUAGCUUAUCUGGGAGGAAGUUUUUCCCCCAGAGGGUGGUGACGCAUUGGAACAGGUUGCCCAAGGAGGCUGUGGAUGCCCCAUCCCUGCAGGCAUUCAAGGCCAGGCUGGAUGUGGCUCUGGGCAGCCUGGUCUGCUGGUUGACAACCCUGCACACAGCAAUGGGGUUGGAACUGGAUGAGCAUUGUGGUCCUUUUCAACCCAGGCCAUUCUGUGAUUCUAUGACUCUAUGAUUCUACGAUUCUAAACAUCUUUGUGUCACAGAAUGCAACUGGUCGGGCAGCAGCAAGAUUCCCUUUGCACUGUCUGGUCUGGCGGCCCUGCUCCCACACACGCACACUGCGGCCUGGUGUCUUUCCUGCCCACAGAGCUCCGUAUCUACAUGGAUGAAGGAUUCAUGGCUCGAUCGUCCCUUUCAGAGUUAGGACAAGCACAUGGGAGCAGAGGGGCAUCCUCCUGGCUGUGUGUGAGAGGAAGACGAAGUGCAGAGCAGUGUACACAUGCUGCUUUCAGCAGGAAGGGCUCCCUGCAGCUCAGACGGGUACAUCUGGCAGCGCUCUCGGAGCGAAAAAAAAAAAAUAGCUGAAGCAGCAAUGGGAUGUGCUCCUCGAUCACCAUUCUGGUUGCCUCUUGGAAAACAGUGGCAACAACGGCGGUCGGUCGCCAUUUUCUCAGGCAGAAGCCCAGCCUGGCUCCUGCCGCGAGCGCGGCCUUGUUGGCAUCCCGGCACGGCGUCUGCAGGGCGAGCUCCUGCGGGGAGCAGGCCUGCUCCUGGGCCAGCAGAAGGGCUGAGCAGGAGCCCGCAGGCCCGGGGCCAGGAGGGAGGGACCCAGCUGUGCUUAUGAAUAUUUGCAAAAGGCACAGAGCUCAACGCCAAGGGCUGGCCUCACAUCGGCCGAGGUUCUGAGCGCGGCUUUUGUUUCACUGCGAGCCUAUCCAAGCUCAUUUGUCCGUUGCUAGUAAUUUGCCCAGUGGACCACGUCUCACAGGCCUGGGUCUUUAUUCAGGCUGCGUGCCCAGUGACCUCAGCACACUCUGUGCCAGGAUAAAGACUGCCUGAGGGCGGCAGGCUUGGGGCCGGAUACCUCGAAUGCCAUUCAGAUGUGAUUUCCAAUGUAAGAACCUCCGUUUUUCUUGAAUAAAAUCACGGGAGGACGGCAACUUCAGUGACGUGAUUCAAAACAGGCCCUUCUCUAAAGCAUCUGUGAGGCGGAGGGUGGAAAACGAACCCCCUGGAAGAAACAGGGACUGCGUAACGCUCGGGGAGUGGUCGGCGGGUAGAUGCAUGCCGGCGGCACUGCGAAGACACAGGGCUCAUUUAGCACUUGUCCCAGGCUGUGAGCAGGACCACACAAACACCGGCUGUCACAAACAUACAUCUACGGGAUGACGGCUCCGGUCUGUUACAUUCAGUGGCAUUCCGUGUGUUUUGCUGGGCCGCCGAUCCAAUGCAACAGCAUUAAAAUGCACCGGGGAGCAUUUCUUAGAUAGCAGAGGAGAAUAUGAGAGGGGCCUUUAUGAGGCUCUGCAUAGAAGUCCACUCGUGGGGCAUCUCCCCGAGCCCACACUGCCACUGCAGGUGGGUCAAGCCCCAGUCCUGGAGCGGACACACACACCAUUGAAGUCACUCAGCUGAUUUCGAAAGCCAUCCUCUCGGCUCAUCUGAAGUAUUCUGAUCUUACGUUACCACACGGCUCCAUACCACUCUCAGUGCCCAGCAUUUGCCUGGGGGCAUGCUGAGCUCAGGCUCCAUUUGCUAAAAGCAGAGGGAGCCCACAGUGUCCCCUCCAAGCUGUGGAUAGGGGCUGUGUAGAAACUGAGAUGCAGUGAGCUCCAUCUCUCUUAUCUUGACCAGCUCUGAAGUUGAAGCCUGCGGAGCUUUCUUGGCCUCCCAUCCAGGUCUGACCUGUCCUCUGAGAGUGUGAGGAUAUUUUUGGCUUUUUAGAAUAUACUGCACAGAUCACAGACCAGAAAAAUUACAGCUGGCAAUAAUC